rnacentral:rRNA from 1 species
UGGGGAAUAUUGCACAAUGGGGGGAACCCUGAUGCAGCCAUGCCGCGUGUGUGAAGAAGGCCUUCGGGUUGUAAAGCACUUUCAGAUGUGAGGAAGGGUUGGUGGUUAAUACCCAUCAGCAUUGACGUUAGCAACAGAAGAAGCACCGGCUAACUCCGUGCCAGCAGCCGCGGUAAUACGGAGGGUGCGAGCGUUAAUCGGAAUUACUGGGCGUAAAGCGCACGCAGGCGGUUUGUUAAGCUAGAUGUGAAAGCCCCGGGCUCAACCUGGGAUGGUCAUUUAGAACUGGCAAACUAGAGUUUUGGAGAGGGGAGUGGAAUUCCAUGUGUAGCGGUGAAAUGCGUAGAUAUGUGGAGGAACAUCAGUGGCGAAGGCGACUCUCUGGCCAAAGACUGACGCUCAUGUGCGAAAGUGUGGGUAGCGAACAGGAUUAGAUACCCCCGUAGUCC